CUCUGUGACUCCUACGGGAGGCAGCAGUGGGGAAUAUUGCACAAUGGGCGCAAGCCUGAUGCAGCAACGCCGUGUGAGUGAAGAAGGUUUUCGGAUCGUAAAACUCUGUCCUAAGGGAAGAAACAAAUGACGGUACCUUGGGAGGAAGCCCCGGCUAACUACGUGCCAGCAGCCGCGGUAAUACGUAGGGGGCAAGCGUUAUCCGGAAUCACUGGGCGUAAAGGGUGCGUAGGCGGCUUAGCAAGCCAGGGGUGAAAGGCAUUGGCUCAACCAAUGUAAGCCUUUGGAACUGUUAAGCUUGAGUGCAGGAGAGGUAAGUGGAAUUCCUAGUGUAGAGGUGAAAAUUCGUAGAUAUUAGGAGGAACACCAGUGGCGAAGGCGACUUACUGGACUGUAACUGACGCUGAUGCACGAAAGCGUGGGUAGCGAACAGGAUUAGAUACCCUUGUGA
rnacentral:rRNA from 1 species